AACGAACGCUGGCGGCAUGCCUAACACAUGCAAGUCGAACGAGACCUCCGGGUCUAGUGGCGCACGGGUGCAUAACGCGUGGGAACCUGCCCUUAGGUUCGGAAUAACUCCCCGAAAGGGGUGCUAAUACCGGAUAAUGUCUUCGGACCAAAGAUUUAUCGCCUUUGGAUGGGCCCGCGUUGGAUUAGCUAGUUGGUAGGGUAAUAGCCUACCAAGGCGACGAUCCAUAGCUGGUCUGAGAGGAUGAUCAGCCACACUGGGACUGAGACACGGCCCAGACUCCUACGGGAGGCAGCAGUGGGGGAUAUUGGACAAUGGGCGAAAGCCUGAUCCAGCAAUGCCGCGUGAGUGAUGAAGGCCUUAGGGUUGUAAAGCUCUUUUACCCGGGAUGAUAAUGACGGUACCGGGAGAAUAAGCUCCGGCUAACUCCGUG
rnacentral:rRNA from 1 species